ACAUGUGCUCUUCAGAUCCGGUGUUCGGACGUAGAACACGGAAGCCUUCACUGUGCUUACUGCGUUAACCGCAUAAGGAUAAUGACAGGGAAGAGAAGAGAUUGCUGAAUAAAGUUAUUAUUUUUGUUUUG